rnacentral:rRNA from 1 species
GCGGCGAGCGAAACGGGAAGAGCCCAAACCAACAAGCUUGCUUGUUGGGGUUGUAGGACACUCUAUACGGAGUUACAAAGGACGACAUUAGACGAAUCAUCUGGAAAGAUGAAUCAAAGAAGGUAAUAAUCCUGUAGUCGAAAAUGUUGUCUCUCUUGAGUGGAUCCUGAGUACGACGGAGCACGUGAAAUUCCGUCGGAAUCUGGGAGGACCAUCUCCUAAGGCUAAAUACUCUCUAGUGACCGAUAGUGAACCAGUACCGUGAGGGAAAGGUGAAAAGCACCCCGGAAGGGGAGUGAAAUAGAACCUGAAACCGUGUGCUUACAAGUAGUCAGAGCCCGUUAAUGGGUGAUGGCGUGCCUUUUGUAGAAUGAACCGGCGAGUUACGAUUUGAUGCAAGGUUAAGCAGUAAAUGUGGAGCCGUAGCGAAAGCGAGUCUGAAUAGGGCGUUUAGUAUUUGGUCGUAGACCCGAAACCAGGUGAUCUACCCUUGGUCAGGUUGAAGUUCAGGUAACACUGAAUGGAGGACCGAACCGACUUACGUUGAAAAGUGAGCGGAUGAACUGAGGGUAGCGGAGAAAUUCCAAUCGAACCUGGAGAUAGCUGGUUCUCUCCGAAAUAGCUUUAGGGCUAGCCUCAAGUGAUGAUUAUUGGAGGUAGAGCACUGUUUGGACGAGGGGCCCCUCUCGGGUUACCGAAUUCAGACAAACUCCGAAUGCCAAUUAAUUUAACUUGGGAGUCAGAACAUGGGUGAUAAGGUCCGUGUUCGAAAGGGAAACAGCCCAGACCACCAGCUAAGGUCCCAAAAUAUAUGUUAAGUGGAAAAGGAUGUGGCGUUGCCCAGACAACUAGGAUGUUGGCUUAGAAGCAGCCAUCAUUUAAAGAGUGCGUAAUAGCUCACUAGUCGAGUGACACUGCGCCGAAAAUGUACCGGGGCUAAACAUAUUACCGAAGCUGUGGAUUGUCCUUUGGACAAUGGUAGGAGAGCGUUCUAAGGGCGUUGAAGCAUGAUCGUAAGGACAUGUGGAGCGCUUAGAAGUGAGAAUGCCGGUGUGAGUAGCGAAAGACGGGUGAGAAUCCCGUCCACCGAUUGACUAAGGUUUCCAGAGGAAGGCUCGUCCGCUCUGGGUUAGUCGGGUCCUAAGCUGAGGCCGACAGGCGUAGGCGAUGGAUAACAGGUUGAUAUUCCUGUACCACCUAUAAUCGUUUUAAUCGAUGGGGGGACGCAGUAGGAUAGGCGAAGCGUGCGAUUGGAUUGCACGUCUAAGCAGUAAGGCUGAGUAUUAGGCAAAUCCGGUACUCAUUAAGGCUGAGCUGUGAUGGGGAGAAGACAUUGUGUCUUCGAGUCGUUGAUUUCACACUGCCGAGAAAAGCCUCUAGAUAGAAAAUAGGUGCCCGUACCGCAAACCGACACAGGUAGUCAAGAUGAGAAUUCUAAGGUGAGCGAGCGAACUCUCGUUAAGGAACUCGGCAAAAUGACCCCGUAACUUCGGGAGAAGGGGUGCUCUUUAGGGUUAACGCCCAGAAGAGCCGCAGUGAAUAGGCCCAAGCGACUGUUUAUCAAAAACACAGGUCUCUGCUAAACCGUAAGGUGAUGUAUAGGGGCUGACGCCUGCCCGGUGCUGGAAGGUUAAGAGGAGUGGUUAGCUUCUGCGAAGCUACGAAUCGAAGCCCCAGUAAACGGCGGCCGUAACUAUAACGGUCCUAAGGUAGCGAAAUUCCUUGUCGGGUAAGUUCCGACCCGCACGAAAGGCGUAACGAUUUGGGCACUGUCUCAACGAGAGACUCGGUGAAAUCAUAGUACCUGUGAAGAUGCAGGUUACCCGCGACAGGACGGAAAGACCCCGUGGAGCUUUACUGUAGCCUGAUAUUGAAAUUCGGCACAGCUUGUACAGGAUAGGUAGGAGCCUUUGAAACGUGAGCGCUAGCUUACGUGGAGGCGCUGGUGGGAUACUACCCUAGCUGUGUUGGCUUUCUAACCCGCACCACUUAUCGUGGUGGGAGACAGUGUCAGGCGGGCAGUUUGACUGGGGCGGUCGCCUCCUAAAAGGUAACGGAGGCGCUCAAAGGUUCCCUCAGAAUGGUUGGAAAUCAUUCAUAGAGUGUAAAGGCAUAAGGGAGCUUGACUGCGAGACCUACAAGUCGAGCAGGGUCGAAAGACGGACUUAGUGAUCCGGUGGUUCCGCAUGGAAGGGCCAUCGCUCAACGGAUAAAAGCUACCCCGGGGAUAACAGGCUUAUCUCCCCCAAGAGUUCACAUCGACGGGGAGGUUUGGCACCUCGAUGUCGGCUCAUCGCAUCCUGGGGCUGUAGUCGGUCCCAAGGGUUGGGCUGUUCGCCCAUUAAAGCGGUACGCGAGCUGGGUUCAGAACGUCGUGAGACAGUUCGGUCCCUAUCCGUCGUGGGCGUAGGAAAUUUGAGAGGAGCUGUCCUUAGUACGAGAGGACCGGGAUGGACAUACCUCUGGUGUACCAGUUGUCGUGCCAACGGCAUAGCUGGGUAGCUAUGUGUGGACGGGAUAAGUGCUGAAAGCAUCUAAGCAUGAAGCCCCCCUCAAGAUGAGAUUUCCCAACUUCGGUUAUAAGAUCCCUCAAAGAUGAUGAGGUUAAUAGGUUCGAGGUGGAAGCAUGGUGACAUGUGGAGCUGACGAAUACUAAUCGAUCGAAGACUUAAUCAA